CGUCAGCUCGUGUCGUGAGAUGUGGUAAGUCCGCAACGAGCGCAACCUCUAUUGUUAGUUGCCAUCAUUCAGUUGGGCACUCUAGCGAGACUGCCGGUAAUAAACCGGAGGAAGGUGGGGAUGACGUCAAAUCAUCAUGCCCCUUAUGACCUGGGCUACACACGUGCUACAAUGGUUGGUACAACGAGUUGCGAGUCGGUGACGGCGAGCUAAUCUCUUAAAGCCAAUCUCAGUUCGGAUUGUAGGCUGCAACUCGCCUACAUGAAGUCGGAAUCGCUAGUAAUCGCGGAUCAGCACGCCGCGGUGAAUACGUUCCCGGGCCUU
rnacentral:rRNA from 1 species